rnacentral:rRNA from 1 species
CUCCCCACGCCCCGCUUCCUCCCCUCUCUGUCCCCCCUCGCCCCCAAUCUCGCGCGACGCCACGAAACCCUAGCCCCCAAAUCGCUCGCCGGGGAGAGGGAGGGAGGGUGGGAGGCCGGAGACGGACGCCGUUCGCCGGCCCCGAUGGAGGUGAAGCUGUGGAACGACAAGCGCGAGCGGGAGCUCCUGGAGAGCCUGGCCGACCUGUACGCGAUCAUCAAGGCCACGGAGAAGCUGGAGCGCGCCUACGUCCGCGACCUCGUCUCCGCCGCCGACUACGAGGCCGACUGCCUCAAGCUCAUCUCCCAGUUCAACUCCCUCUCCUCCUCCCUCGCCGGGGUCGUCACCAUCCCGCGCUUCGUGCAGGCCUACCGCCUCGACUGCCCAGCCGCCCUCAACCGCCUCGUCCAGUCCGGCGUCCCCGCCACCAUCGAGCUCCGCGCCGCCACCGCCUCCUCCUCCGCGCCGCCCGCCACCGCGGCCUCCGCCUCCGCCAUCGCCCAGUGCGUCCAGAGCUUCAUCACCGCCAUGGACGCCGUCAAGCUCAAUAUGCUCGCCAACGACCAGGUCCGCCCCCUGCUCCACGACCUCUCCACCUCCAUGGGGAAGCUCGGUACCGUCCUGCCGCCCGACUUCGAGGGGAAGGUCAAGGUGAACGAGUGGCUCGCAAAGCUGCAUAAGAUGGGGGCUGGGGACGAGCUCACGGAUCAGCAGGCCAGACAGCUCAAUUUUGAUCUGGAAUCAGCCUAUAGUGCGUUUAUGGCCUCGCUUCCCACUGCUGGCCUGUGAACGAUGAUCGGCUUGGUUCAGAGUUGCUUCUUCUUUCUGUUUUGUCAUGCUCUUGUCUUGCAAUGGUAUACAUAUGUGUAAUUUGGCUCAAGCUAUAUCGUUUGUCGACAACAAUGCCAAUCUUAUGGAAAGUUGCCCCCUACAGAUCGAUUGUUUCAUACUGAUUAUAGGGACCCUUGAUUGUAUUCAGCGUACAGUGUGUUUAUGGCCUCGCUUCC